rnacentral:rRNA from 1 species
AUUGAACGCUGGCGGCAUGCCUUACACAUGCAAGUCGAACGGUAACGGGCCUUCGGGUGCCGACGAGUGGCGAACGGGUGAGUAAUACAUCGGAACGUGCCCGAUCGUGGGGGAUAACGAGGCGAAAGCUUUGCUAAUACCGCAUACGAUCUACGGAUGAAAGCAGGGGACCGCAAGGCCUUGCGCGGACGGAGCGGCAGGUGGCAGAUGAGGUAGUUGGUGGGAUAAAAGCUUACCAAGCCGACGAUCUGUAGCUGGUCUGAGAGGAUGAUCAGCCACACUGGGACUGAGACACGGCCCAGACUCCUACGGGAGGCAGCAGUGGGGAAUUUUGGACAAUGGGCGCAAGCCUGAUCCAGCCAUGCCGCGUGCAGGAUGAAGGCCUUCGGGUUGUAAACUGCUUUUGUACGGAACGAAAAGCCUUCUUUUAAUACAGGAGGGUCAUGACGGUACCGGAAGAAUAAGCACCGGCUAACUACGUG